GUGGCAUCGGAUCAAACGGCCUCUCGCACCACACUUCCAAUACUCCACAUUCCAAGGAAGAGACCGAAACUGAACAGAAGCGAAACCACCUUAUCUCUCAACCAACCAACGAGAAAAUUGAAUGCUUCUGUUCCCAACGUUCUUUUUCUUCAGACACAACUCAAGGAAAAUUGGCGGUUAGAGAUUUGUGUAAUGCUGCAGCAUGCUUUAGAUGCUCUUUCUUCACAAUCGGAAUGUGAGCAAUUCUGGGCCAAUCUACAGCUUUUUUCCCUUUACAUCUUUCUUCAAGUCUUGGACUCGUCAUGAUAUGAAGGGUGGAAAUUGAAGAAGUAAGGUUUGCUGGCAUACACUGAAGUUCUGGGCAGCGUGCAAUCCCCAAAGUCUCCAGAGAGGUCAAUUGCUGAAGGCUUUCCUCAUCUAGAUACUUCAAACUCGAAAGUGUAAAGAUUUGAACGGAUGUAAGAGUGGAUGGCAGCAGCCAUCUUUCUGGAAAUGAUUCCCCAUCAUGGAAUGAACCUGCUAUAGCAAAGCUUCUAAGAGAGGGGAGUUUUGCAAAUUCCAGUUCUUUCUGUUGGUAAACAAUUUAGGACAAUGAAAUAUCUGAAGGGCGUUCAGACUAUCUGUGCAACCUCCAUCUGAAGAUGACUCAAGUUCUGAACACUCUAUUAUGUCCAAAGUCAUCAGGAAUGGAAAUAGUUUAUUCAUCUGACAAGGAAAAGAAGUCAAGUUCUUGCCUUUCUCCAACUGUAAAUUUGUCAGAUUUGGAGCUGCAAGUCCACCUUCUGGGAAAGAUAUAAAAUUAGGACAUCACAGAUCUUCAAGGAAUUUAGAGAUUGAAGAUAUUGAACAUGCACCCCAGAAACAACAGGAGAUUGUAGAUUUUGACAUCUUCGGAUAUCAAGGUGGGCCAUCUUUGGAAACAUAUCCAUUAUGAAAGACCUAAGGGAAUUGCAGCUACAUGAGAUGCAUAACCUCUCAUGAUAUGCAAAGCAUUGGUUCAUUGGAAACUCAAUGUUCUCGCAGUUUGUAACAUUAAGUGACUUAAAUGUGUUUGCAAUGACAUUACUAGGAAUCUGCCGAGAGAGGGGGCAACUUGAGAUGCUCAACUUUUGAAUACAAGAACUUCCUUUGUUUAUUACCUGAAAUAGUGAGUCUACUGCAUUAUAGCUACUGAUUGUCAGGUUCAGUAAUUGAGGCAGUGGCAUUUGGAUUGAAACCUUCUCACAACAUUCUAAUUGCAAUUCAUGAAUUGUUGGGGAAACUGCAAUCACAAGCUGUUCACAUUUUGCAAUCACGAUCUUUUCCAGAGCUGCUAGCUUUUGGAUCAAGUUCACACCUUUCAGUUUCGGGCAAUUUUUUAUAUAUAGUUACAAGGAAAUUUUCUUUUUUCAUCUUCCUUCUCUUCCUCCCCAAAAGGAAGCCAUUCUUGCCACAGUGGCAUGUUUUCAACUUUAAUAUUGUAUCAAUGCCGCAGGGGCUUAAAAACUUCAACAAACAUGCUAGGGAACUUUUUACUCGCCUUCAGAAGAUUGACAAGGACAACUAUCCAGAGUAAUGGAUUUGACCAUAUCGUUCUUCCUAAUAAAGUUUCUAGUUGAGAUGGCAUGCAAGCCUUAUCCUAUACUUGACUUGGGGCCCCUCCUCUUUUAGGUAGGCAAUACAUUGAGUGAGCAAUUGCCAGCUAUAAUGAUGAUAGAGACAUUCUGUUAUCCUCACACUUUCAAACAAGCUGCAGAGUUUAUGGUGUUGCACUAACUAUGGAUAUCUGCGGCUCACAGCCUUAUUGGUAGAAUAAUGGCUAUGUGGAUCAAAGAAAAUAUACCUUGUUGCAGUUGUAGAGUUUGUGGUCUUGCCUUUGUUAUUUUUGCAGGAUUUGAAGAUUCUAACCAAGGUGUUUGACUUAUUCUUUAACACAAUUGAGAUAAACUAAGACUCAUCUUCUCCUUGAAGUGGCGUCUCCUCUGUCUCUUCCUUCUCCAUUCCGCCGCCAUUCAUCUUUCAAGAAGCAAAGGAAUCCAUUGAUGAAGAAGAUCUUAGGCCUACAAGCUCCAAUGGAGCUUACAUAAAAAAGGAACCACACUACUUAAACUGCUUCGUUGGCUUUCACUAGUAAGUCAUUAUUUGUACCGAUGCCUAAACUUCUUUUUCCUUUUUUGUGUAACCAUUCAAAACUUUGAACAGGGAAAAAUAAAGUAAAAUAAAACAAGAGGGUGUACAACUAUAGUUGAUUUGCUUUGAUAUACUACUCUGCUUAGUGGAAGAUCUUUUAGAAAAUAGAAUUGCCAUGUCUGCUCCUCUAGUUUAUUCCUCAAAGCACAUUCCAACAAAGCUAGAAACUUUCACACAAGAAGAGGUGGCUCUUCAAUUUCCCAAUCCAAGUUCACACACUUAAUUAGCAAGCCAUGUUCUUUAUUUCCUUUUUGCUUGCAAGGACACAGUUCAAGUUACUUCCCAAUUCUACAUUGUAUCUCUCCAUGCAGAAAAGAAGAAAGAGGGAAUGACAAGAGAUGUUGGUACUCAAAGUACACCUCCUUAUAUUAGUUCACAUCAAAAGCCAUCUUCAGUUUGUUGAACUUUAACAAUUCUGUUUCUACCAAAGCGUCACUAUCUUAUCUCUCCAGAACUCUCUAGCGCACAUCUGUUCAUCUCUUAUACAAGUGUUAGAUAUUUUAGUACUCUUUGUGUAAUACAGAGUUUGGGAACUGUAUUAUGAUUCUAGUGGUUAUGAUUUAAUCUUUGAGCAGGUGAAUCAGUUGUCUCCUUCAGUUCUUAAAUCUAAGGGGGUGCCUGUACAUCGCACUGUCUAGCAUUCAGGUGAUUCAGUCCAUUGAGGUGCUUAUAAGUAUUGUUGGUCAAAGAGCUAUUGUUUUAAGCACUUCCAAGUAAGUUCUAUGGACUAACAUUUGAUGUAUGACAUUUUAAUUACAUUAUACUCAUGAAAUCUAGUAUGUAUUUGUAUAGUGUUGAUAAGUUUGGAUUAUUGGUCUGUGUAUUUUAUCAUUUACUUAAAUGUUGAGUAAAUGAAGUUACCUUAUAAUAAAAAAAAUUGUAAUAACUUUUUUUUCUA